GACGAACGCUGGCGGCGUGCUUAACACAUGCAAGUCGAACGGAAAGGCCCUGCUUUUGUGGGGUGCUCGAGUGGCGAACGGGUGAGUAACACGUGAGUAACCUGCCCUUGACUUUGGGAUAACUUCAGGAAACUGGGGCUAAUACCGGAUAGGAGCUCCUGCUGCAUGGUGGGGGUUGGAAAGUUUCGGCGGUUGGGGAUGGACUCGCGGCUUAUCAGCUUGUUGGUGGGGUAGUGGCUUACCAAGGCUUUGACGGGUAGCCGGCCUGAGAGGGUGACCGGCCACAUUGGUACUGAGAGACGGCCCAGUCGCCUACGGGAGGCAGCAGGGGGGAAUAUGGCACAAUGGGCGGAAGUCUGUUGCAGCAACGCCGGGGGCGGGAUGACGGGCUUCGGGGUGUAAACCGCUUUCGCCUGUGACGAAGCGUGAGUGACGGUAAUUAGUAAAGAAGCACCGGCUAACUACGUG
rnacentral:rRNA from 1 species